CCUCCAGGCCCCCACCUCCCACCCCCACCCCUGGGCGUCUGCGCGGCAGCACAGGCCUUACUCCACCAGCUGCCUCCCGACAGAACCGAGUCAUGUGGGGUCAAGCACAGGAAGCCCGACUACAGUCACAAGCAAGAUGAAAAACUGGUAUGCGCCGAAGUCCAUGUGGAGACUUAACUCUGUUUUCCUUCCUCCCUUAUAUGCCAAAGUGGAGGAACUCUCCGCCCCUCCCUGGAGUCACCUGCUCAGGGAGGACUCUCACGGUGAAGCAGUAGCAGGCCCCUGUGCUCUUCCUGUGCGCAUCUCCCCGCCCCCGGGGUCCUCUGGUUCCUUCCUUCCCUGUGGAGGAAGCAGUCAGUGCAUCUGCACCGGGGCCGGGCAUGGAAAAUCAGGGGCAAGGCGAGGGGCAGCUGUGGGCAGCUCCGGGUUCAGCCUCAGGCUGUGGGAAGCAGACCUGCAAAAGCUGCGUGCUCCCUUCUUGCCAAGAGGAAAAGAGCCUGUCUGUUCUUUGAUGUCCCCUUUUGAGGAUCAAAGAGAAUCAGGCUCUCCCACAUGGAGGACCUCUGUAAGGCCAAUGCACCUGGAGACUCCAGUGACCCUGGCCCCUUCUUGGCUCCUGCCUCUUGUCCUGCCACCUCUGAGGACAGGCUAGUGUGCUACCGAAUGUCGUCUUGGUCUCUGCUUCUGUCUCAAAGCUUCUUGGCUUUUCUCCAGGACCAGCUACUCGUUCAUCAGAGACUGAUGGAUGCUGGGUUACUCUUCAGUUGCCGGUAGGAUGCUAUUUGAGAGAACCACAUCUGAAGACGCUGGCGCUGGUAAAGCAUCUUUUUAGUUGGAUAAUGCAAGACAGCACGUCUGAGGAGGUGGAAGGCAUGCGGUGGCGGUUCAGAAGGAAGACAAAGAGGAAACAGACCACUGGCUCUCGUGGGAACCGGGGUGGUAUGUGGCAUCCCUCACAUGGAGACAAAGCUCCCAGCAAAUGGCCACAGAUGCCAAACCGAGGACCGCGAUAGACAUUAUGGAACGACAUCCCUCCUUUGUCCAACAAUUAAGAGGAAAAUUUUAGCAUUCUCUUCUGCUGCUUUUCAGCUGAGAGCAUUAAAAGAUGUGUGUAGUUUCUCCUUA